CGUGUAGGCGGUCGGGCAAGUCAGAUGUGAAAGCCUUCCGCUCAACGGAAGAAGUGCAUUUGAAACUACCCGGCUGGAGUACGGGAGAGGAGAGUGGAAUUCCCGGCGUAGAGGUGAAAUUCGUAGAUAUCGGGAGGAACACCGGUGGCGAAGGCGGCUCUCUGGUCCGAUACUGACGCUGAGACGCGAAAGCGUGGGGAGCAAACAGGAUUAGAUACCCUGGUAGUCCACGCCGUAAACGAUGGGCACUAGGUGUAGGAGGUAUUGACCCCUUCUGUGCCGAAGCUAACGCAUUAAGUGCCCCGCCUGGGGAGUACGGCCGCAAGGCUAAA
rnacentral:rRNA from 1 species